UUGGAAUUAUGAGGACCUGAGUUUGAUCC
rnacentral:piRNA from 1 species